rnacentral:snoRNA from 1 species
UUUCAUGAUGAACAAAAAAUACUGUAUAACUUUCGUUCUACCGAUUUGCAUCAAACGAUGUUGGGGACACCUUUAUCUUUCCCCUGAGA